rnacentral:tRNA from 1 species
CCCGGUCUAGCUCAAGGGGAGAGCAGUCGGCUCAUAAUCGACAGGUUAUUGGUUCAAAUCCAAUGACCGGGA